rnacentral:tRNA from 1 species
AAGGUGCUAGUCCAAUUAAGACAACU